ACCCUACCGCUCCUCCUGUGGUGGGGACCGUUGCAAACGCCUGCGAUGAAUCUGUUGGGCUGUAUUACAAGGACAGUGAUGCUUUAGACCCCAGACCAGCGAGUCCGAAGAAGUAACCAGACUUGUACCCCCCCGGUCUGGGUGUGAUCCGCAAAGAGGCAGAGCGGGAGGGGGAUUCGGGCUGGGCUCCCCCUAUACCAGUAGUCUAUUAGGCUCUGUUAUGAGGUUACACUCUUUGUUCUCGUGAUUGCUAGACCUUAGCACCACUGACUUUGACAAGUACCCAAUACGUGAUGUGGAUGGGCUUCUGGAGAGAAUCUUCACAACAAAAGGCGAUAGAGAAUACUCGCCAACGCCGCAGGCCAAGACACCAUCCCCCCCGAACAGGUUCGGUAGGAAUCGGUGGCAUCAGCAGCAAAAGCCAAGUCACUUCUACAGAGAAGGCUUACGGAGGCAACCGGAGGCAAUCACGUAGCCAAUAACCAGCGUCAAGCAAUGUGAUGACUACCUCAGUACAAGAAUUGUAGUGUUUUUGGCUAUGAGGAUUUUUGUAUGAUUUGCUUUAGGACUGUCUAAGCAAAUGGUGAUAGUAAAAUAACUUCGUUGAGUAGUUUGUCUAGAAUAACUGCAGUUAAAUGGAAUUUGCAUGCUUGUUGGUAUGCAUUCCUUGUAUUAUAUUAAUAAGGCAAGCUUCUUGCUGCCGGUGAAGGAUGGCAGAGAUUCCACCUGUGUGAGGUGUGAGCAGGUGGAUGAUCUGCUCAAUGUGGUGGCAAAGCUCAGGGAGGAGGUGGAGAGAUGAUGGAUCAUCAGGGAGUGUGAGCAGGAGAUAAACUGGAGGAGUAACUGCUGAACGUGCAAGAAAGACAUGGGGGUUAUAGCCCCAAACAAUGGUGGACCUUCUCCCCUGCCAUCGUUGAGCAGAGGGAGACGGGAAGAGGAGGAGUGGAAAUAGGUCCCAGCUUGGUGUCACAGGCAACCCCCAUCCCAACCUACCUCGGUUCCUCAGGUGCCCUUAUGUAAUAGGCUUGAGGCCCUGGAACCUGAGGGAGAGGUGAGUGAGGAUGCAGUCGGAGGUCUACCUGCAAAGUUGUCAAGGGUGAGGUGGUCAACUCGGCACCUCAAGACUGCCUCCACCAAGAAGGACAGAAGGGUGACUGUCCUAGGUGACUCCCUUCUGAGAGGAACGGAGGGCCCUAUAUGUCGGCCUGACCCUAUCCACAGGGAGGUGUGCUGCCUCCCUGGGGCCCAGGUCAGGGAUGUUUCUAGGAAACUUCCUAGUCUGAUUUGCUCCUCUAGUUCAGGCUGGCAGUGACGAAUGUGCUGACACAAGCCUGAAAACUAUCAAAAAGGACUUCGGAGGACUGGGGCAGUUAGUGGAUGGAGCGGGCAUACAGGUCGUAUUUUCCUCUAUUACUUCAGUGGCAGGGGAGGAUACUGAAGGGAGCAGGAAAACCCAUCUUAUAAACACACGGCUGAGAGGCUGGUGCAAAUGCAAGAAUUUUUGGUCUUUUAGCCAUGGUGCCGUUUACUCAGCACCUGGCCUCUUGGAUGCUGAUGGGUCUCACCUGCCUCAAAGGGGGAAACGGAUCCUUGCCCAGGAGCUGACAGGGCUUGUGGAGAGAGCUUUAAACUAGAUAUGAAGGGGGAUGGUCCAGGUCCACUACAGAUGAGCCUAAGGGAACAAUGACAGGACUGGGGAUGAGGCAGGGGGCUCAGCUGAAGUGCAUCUACACCAAUGCAUGCAGCACAGGCCACAAACAGGAGGAGCUGGAAACCAUUGUGUGGCUCUACAAGGCUGGAUCGAGGCUGGACCAGGACGUGCUCCCACAGGUGGACCCAGCUCGGUGGACAGGGCUGUGGGGUGCCAGAUCCCGGCUCCAUCAUGGCCUUGCUGGGGCAGGGAUUGACAGCCCCAGGGAUAACGUGGGGACCUAGGGACGGGGCAUGGUGGGGAAGGCCCAGUUGGGUGGGCAGGGACAGGCAGGGCUUUUACAGGGCCUUGGUAAUUCCCUAGUUUUGUUAAUUACGUUCUUGGUUGCUGGUUGUUCAGUUUUUAGCCUUAGUUCAGCCUGACAGUCCUGCCAGUGUAUCUGUCCGGGAAUACAGGAAAGAAAUCCUGAUGAAUUGAAUUCCCUUUGCCAGAAGGAGUGGAUAUUUCUUAGCUACAGCUUAGACUUUUUGUUUUUCCAAAAGACUCGUUGUGACAAGAAGUCAUGCAGCGUGCUCUGCUCAUCAGUAGCAUCAGGCAGGAGGGAGUGGAAACAAAACCAUGUUGUCAAACAUGUGCAACUUCAAUUAGUUUAGCGAAGGGGUCAUUGUGGGCUUCUUUGCACCAGUCCUCCCAGUCAAGUGUCAUGAUUCUUCCUGCUUGCCACUUAUCUGUGUGUCCCCAGCGUAGGCAAAACACUCUGGAAUAAACAUAGAGUUGUUCAUAGGUGCUCAAUACUUCAGUGUUUGAGCCAAUAAGAGCUUCAGAAGUCUCACCCUGAAGCAAAGUGAGGACUUUGCCAAUGCGUAAACGGCCUUUCUGGCCUCACUGCAUGAACAUCAGCACUGUGGCAGGCCUGGGAUGCGUAAAAGUAAUUGUCUGCAACACACUUUGAUGUUACAUAGCAGGUACUAUUCCAUGCUAUGUUCAUAUACAGAAGCGAGAGUGUGUGACAAGGAGAGAGAUGAGCUUGGCCAUGGGAAGUGGAAGGCACGUGAGCAUGCCGGGAGGGAGCAAAGGCUAUGCCAACAGCUCUAGAAGGGAGCAGAAAGGAUGUAAGCAUGCCUGGAGUCAAGGGACUCCAGUCAUCCCAAAAGGGGAAAGGGAGGACACUGGAAUGCUGUAGAAAGGACUGAAGGGGAUGUGCGUGUGAACUAAGGGGACUCGGUGCUUGCAGCCAGGGUAGUAGAGAAGGCAUGAAGACACACCGCAGGGAAUGGGGGGGCUCUGAGUGAGAGCAAUACAAGUGAUCUGGAGCAGCAGCCUUGGGCACCCUGUGCUCCUGGAGGUCUGCAAGGGGUUGCUUCCUUUUGCCACGUUGCCCUGUUAAAUGCAAACAUUUAAUGAACACGUGAGCCCCUCCCUCUGCCCCAAGGGCCUUACAAAGGGAACACUGGCACUGCCAGCUAUGACAACUCUGAUUCAUGUCACCAAGAGUCACUAAGCCUUUUGUGAUGUCAUAAAGCGCUCAGCAGACCUGGGGCAUUUGCACAGGCCCCACAAGCACAGUGCCUGCUGGAGCAGGUGCAGGUGCAGCUGGUGCUGGUGCUGGCAGUGUUGGCACUGGUGGUGCUGGUGCUGGUGGUAGUACCCAGUCCCGACGGAUCAUGGAGAGGAUCCGGCAGUUGCUGUGGACACUGAGGAGGACAUGGAGAAGGCGGAGGGCUCGAGUGCAUCUCAUGGAGUGCACGGAGCAGGAAAAUAAAGAAGCUCCUUUGGAAUCUGAAGUCAAGCAGGCAGAGGACAGCACAGAUGGAGUAGCAGGAGCAACUUCUGCGCCGCUCGGUCUCUCCAACACAGAUGGAGUAGCAGCGG